rnacentral:rRNA from 1 species
UACCGAGGUCUCAAGCGUUGUUCGGAUUCAUUGGGCGUAAAGGGUGCGUAGGCGGCGCGGUAAGUCGGGUGUGAAAUCUCGGAGCUUAACUCCGAAACUGCAUUCGAUACUGCCGUGCUUGAGGACUGGAGAGGAGACUGGAAUUUACGGUGUAGCGGUGAAAUGCGUAGAUAUCGUAAGGAAGACCAGUGGCGAAGGCGGGUCUCUGGACAGUUCCUGACACUGAGGCACGAAGGCCAGGGGAGCAAACCGG